GAUGAAGAACGCAGCGAAAUGCGAUAAGUAAUGUGAAUUGCAGAAUUCAGUGAAUCAUCGAAUCUUUGAACGCACAUUGCGCCCCUUGGUAUUCCGAGGGGCAUGCUUGUUCGAGCGUCAUUAUAACCCUCAAGCUCAGCUUGGUGUUGGGGCCUGCUGCACUGGCAGCCCUUAAAAUCAGUGGCGGCGCCAUCUGGCUCUAAGCGUAGUAAUUCUUCUCGCUAUGGAGUCCUGGUGGAUGCUUGCCAUCAACCCCCAAUUUUUCUAUGGUUGACCUCGGAUCAGGUAGGGAUACCCGCUGAACUUAAGCAUAUCAAUAAGCGGAGGA
rnacentral:misc_RNA from 1 species